GAGGGUAUAGCUCAGUGGUAGAGCCCAUGCUUAGCAUGCAUGAGGUCCUGGGUUCAAUCCCCAGUACCUCCA
rnacentral:tRNA from 1 species